AAGUCGUAACAAGGUUUCCGUAGGUGAACCUGCGGAAGGAUCAUUAACACUUACACAAAGUUCUACUUUAUGUAUUUAACACAAAAUUCGUGCUCCUUUCUUUUUUCACACCAUUAACCCCAUUUAUUAUUUUAUUUUAUAUCUAUACAUAUAUCUAAAAAGUAUUUGUAUUUAUUAGUUGUAAUAAUAGUAGAAGAUAGAAAUGUAUAAUGCAUAACUAUGUUCUAUGAGUAUACACAACUCUUACCAAUGGAUAUCUUGGCUCUC
rnacentral:misc_RNA from 1 species